rnacentral:rRNA from 1 species
CCUACGGGACGCAGCAGUGAGGAAUAUUGGUCAAUGGACGAGAGUCUGAACCAGCCAAGUAGCGUGAAGGAUGACUGCCCUAUGGGUUGUAAACUUCUUUUAUAUGGGAAUAAAAUGUUCCACGUGUGGGAUUUUGUAUGUACCAUAUGAAUAAGGAUCGGCUAACUCCGUGCCAGCAGCCGCGGUAAUACGGAGGAUCCGAGCGUUAUCCGGAUUUAUUGGGUUUAAAGGGAGCGUAGGUGGAUUGUUAAGUCAGUUGUGAAAGUUUGCGGCUCAACCGUAAAAUUGCAGUUGAAACUGGCAGUCUUGAGUACAGUAGAGGUGGGCGGAAUUCGUGGUGUAGCGGUGAAAUGCUUAGAUAUCACGAAGAACUCCGAUUGCGAAGGCAGUUCACUGGACUGCAACUGACACUGAGGCUCGAAAGUGUGGGUAUCAAACAGGAUUAGAUACCCCAGUAGUC